rnacentral:rRNA from 1 species
GAGACACGGCCCAGACUCCUACGGGAGGCAGCAGUGGGGAAUUUUCCGCAAUGGGCGCAAGCCUGACGGAGCAACGCCGCGUGUGGGAUGAAGGCCUGUGGGUUGUAAACCACUUUUCUCAGGGACGAACACAAUGACGGUACCUGAGGAAUCAGCCUCGGCUAACUCUGUGCCAGCAGCCGCGGUAAGACAGAGGAGGCAAGCGUUAUCCGGAAUUAUUGGGCGUAAAGCGUCCGUAGGUGGUCUAGCAAGUCUGGGGUUAAAGCCCGGAGCCCAACUCCGGAUCGGCCUUGGAAACUGCCAGACUCGAGUAAGGUAGGGGUUGCGGGAAUUCCCGGUGUAGCGGUAAAAUGCGUAGAUAUCGGGAAGAACACCAGCGGCGAAAGCGCGCAACUGGGCCAUUACUGACACUGAGGGACGAAAGCUAGGGGAGCGAAUGGGAUUAGAUACCCCAGUAGUCCUAGCCGUAAACGAUGGUGACUAGAUGUGGCUCGUAUUGACCCGAGCCGUGUCGUAGCUAACGCGAUAAGUCACCCGCCUGGGGAGUACGCACGCAAGUGUGAAACUCAAAGGAAUUGACGGGGGCCCGCACAAGCGGUGGAGCAUGUGGAUUAAUUCGAUGCAACGCGAAGAACCUUACCAGGGCUUGACAUCCUGCGAACCCCGCUGAAAGGUGGGGGUGCCUUCGGGAGCGCAGAGACAGGUGGUGCAUGGCUGUCGUCAGCUCGUGUCGUGAGAUGUUGGGUUAAGUCCCGCAACGAGCGCAACCCGCGUCCUUAGUUGCCAGCAUUUAGUUGGGCACUCUGGGGAGACUGCCGGUGACAAGCCGGAGGAAGGUGCGGAUGACGUCAAGUCAGCAUGCCCCUUACCGCCCUGGGCGUCACACGUGCUACAAUGGCCAGCACAAAGGGUAGCCA